GCUCACUUCGGCAGUGCAUAUAUUAAAUUGAAACGAUAAAGAGAAGAUUAGCGUGACCUCUGUGUAAGGAUGACAAACAAAUUCAUGAAGCGGUCAUAUUUGUA
ensembl:snRNA U6 U6 spliceosomal RNA